rnacentral:rRNA from 2 species
UACGUGAGGGGCGAACGUUGUUCGGUGUCACUGGGCUUAAAGGGUGCGUAGGUGGUUGUGUAAGUAACGUGUGAAAUCCCUCGGCUUACCCGGGGAAUUGCAUGUUAUACUGCAUGACUUGAGGGCUAAAGGGGAAAAGGGAACUCCAGGUGUAGCGGUGAAAUGCGCAGAUAUCUGGGGGAAGGCCGGCGGCGAAGGCGCUUUUCUGGUUAGUACCUGACACUGAGGCACGAAAGCGUGGGGAGCAAACAGG